CAGUCCAUUCAUCCAUCCUUCAGCUCCAGUUCAAACAUUGUGGACUUAACAAAUGAAACAACACACAUCACCGUUAAAGGAGAAACAUUCUGAGAGGAAGAAAAAGAGGAAGAGACGCUGAAGUAGAAAUGUGUUUGAGGUUUGAUCCUGGUUCAUGAUUUGUGUAGUUCACCAGCAGACAGGUUUUUGUAUCACGUCUUUUCACUGUGGAGUGUUGAUCUUUGGCUCUGGAACUAGACUCUUUGUUUCAGACGAGGAGCAGGUGGUGAAGCCCGUGGUGAGCGUGUACCCGGCAGCAUCCAGAGGCCGGCUGGAGGAGAAGAGCUCCCUGCUGUGUGUGGCCUCAGCCAUGUUUCCUCCUGUGGUCAGAAUCUCCUGGACACGACAAACGGAGACCGGAUGUUUAGAGGAGCUGCCCUCUGCUGACGGACAGCAGCUGGAGCUCAGAGAGUCUGGAUGUACUGCCUCCGUCUUACAGAUCUAUCAGACAAAGUUCAGCUAUGAAUACAGCUGCUACGUGCAGCACGAGGGGGGAACAGUGGAGGCUCGGAUAGAUACAGCGGAUCCCUCUGUCCCGUCUCCAUACAAGGUGAAGCUGCUCUUGCUGCUCUACACAGUGCUGACAGUGAAGAGUCUGGUGUACUGCUGUGGACUCUUCCUGCUGACCGUCCUCAGGAACAAGAGUCCGUCCACAAACUUCACACAUGCUGGAUGAUUAUGUUUUACUCUAUUUUCCAUCCCACCAUCACCAUAUUAGCGGCGAAGAUGCUUUCUUAAUUAAUCAGGCCCUCAGUCUCUCGUAACAAGCUCUCUUUAUAGUUUCACACACCGCAGAGAAUAAAAUGUACAAGAAGAUAUGAAUAUAAGCACACACAUUAACCAGGAACAAAAAGCUCACAAAGAAAAGUAAACUUGUAAAAAUUCAGUGUGUUGAUUUGUCUGCAGGUUCACUGUUGACCCUUUUAAACGGUGGUGUCAGUGUUGAUGUAGAGCUCUACGCUGAUGAUACUCUUGUUUACAUGUAGAAACAAAACAUGACAUAGCAGCUUCAUCAGUAGAGAGCUGAAGCUGAAUGAUACACAAAACAUGCUGUGUGUUUUUCUUAUUUUAUUUUCUCGUUUAUGGAGGAUUUAAAAUGUUUUUGUUUUGGUAGUGACUUUACAUAGAUUGCUUUUUUUCUGCUAAAUUACAAUAAAAUGUUUUUAACAAAUCAAUACAGAAUCACAAAUUUAGGCGUAAAUUACUAAAGAUCUCAUGUAUUUAAAAUAUAGUGAUUUUACAUUUUAGCUAGUUCACAGUGCGCAUGUAAAAAUGUUUGUUUUUUUAAAGUAAAUGCAAUAAAAAAAAAAUGUAUGUUGAACUGACGAGCUGAAAGAAUAAAGUCGUCUGCAUAUAAUAAA